GCUCCUUCACUUUGGAUUUGAUAUAUAGCUCUCUAUGGUGUUUGCAGUUUCUUCAUUGGCUCUGUUUUCCCAAGAAUAUAAGUCAAGAAUGAUGAACUAAUGUACAUAUUAACCAACUCUGAAAGUGAAAUUCUGGUACCUGAAAAUGAAGACUUACUGGCUAAAGUUGACUUUGUCUUAGUGACAAACAAAUCAUAUACUGGCAUUGAUAGACAUGAAAUGGAGAGGAUAUGUUACCUGAAAAAGUUGAAAGAGAUAGGCU